rnacentral:lncRNA from 13 species
CAAUGCUGUUUUUCAUGCCUCCAACCGGUGAUGAGCAGCGCAUAUGCAAUCUUAUCUAUCUUUGUAAUAAAUCUAUGCCUUCCGCCGCUUUGUGCUAAAAAGAUCGUUGGCGCCUGCAAUCGAUCGAUGCGUGGAUCAAUUAAUGCGGUUGAGGAUCGGCGCUCCUGUUCGAUCGACUAACUCUUUCGCAGCAAAACACACUUCGUAUUCAAUUAACCGUUUCGCUUCUUGCAAAGUUUCGCGGUAAAAGACGCAUUCGUUGGUAUAUCCCUAUUAGCGCACGCCGCACUACAGUGGGAUGAAAUGAUGAGGAGAAGCGCGCGCGCACACUACGGAGGAUGUUUCAUAUUUUGAUUGAAUUUCAAGCAAAAUAUAUGCACAUAUACACAGUCGAUCACUUUUGGUUUCUGAGGACAGAAUAUACACUCUUCUGUGCACACGCCUUCGGAGAAAGAAUUAGCUAUCUUCGUAUGAAGGAUCGCUUCUUUGGAUCUGGAUUCAUCGUUCACCUGUACGGGACGACGAGACGUUG